CAGAAAUUUAGCAUUCAAUCAAAUCAGCUAGAACAUCCCAUCCUCCUUGGCUUCUAUGAAAUAUCUCUGCUCCCUUGGAGAUUUGCCAGUCUCAUUCAGUAAUUUGACCAAUCUUAACAUUCUUCACUUACAGAACAACCAAUUC